CAGCCGUCCCUGAUUAGUCUCCUGUGUAUUCAAGUCCUUGUCCCUCGCUCUUUCUUGUCGCACUUCCCCCCCCUGAAGUUCAGCGUGUUAUGCAGACAUUUGCUGAAAGGCGCUACAGGAAUUCGCCAGAAUGACAACACAAGGUUUGGAUUAUUUGAACGUCUGUCCAGUGUCGGGACUUUUUAUAAUGAGCCAAUCGGAGAUGAGCUUUUUGUGGGUGGUCGGCUCCACAACCGUGUCUCAGAAAGCUUGAGCCAGGGACGUCUUCACCUGCCAAAGAUCAUCUCCUGUUGUGGUCCACCUGUUUCCAUUCUUCUUGGGUGGACCAAAUGGCAGAUUAUUAAUGGCACCAUUCCACAUCUCAGAGGGGGAAACAUUUCUGGUAGCCUGCAGCCAUCCCUUCCAGACAGUUAUACCAUUUGAAUGAAGAUAAAUGGCUGACUGGUGCCAGAAGUAACUUGGACAAAAUUGGAAGCGUUGGGAUUUUGAGGGUGCACAAAAAAUAUGACCAACCUUCCCAAGCCACCAGAAAUAUGUAUGUGGAGGUAAAAUCAGUGAUCUGUUGAUCUUUACAUUUCUAGCAUUGACAGAGCUGUCAGUGCUGAAAAAAUGUUUUCCAAUCAAAUCGCAAGUCAAAUUGAAUCAAGAAUUCGAUGAAUCUUAACACCCCAAGUAUAUAUUGGAACAAAAUGAGGACAUUCAUUCAUUUUGCUAAAUAAAUGAUUGGUUAAAUUAAGCAGUUACUGUAUCUUUCAUGUCAUAAUAUGUUAAUUAAUCCUGCAGUCUUUCUGUAGAAGCAGAUCAUAUCUCAGCCUUUUCUACGCGUU